rnacentral:sRNA from 1 species
GCCUUGGAUGUGUUGUAAUCCCACCCCCACUAUUUUGAUGUCUUUUCUGUUCUGCUUUCUGCUUGUUGACUCUUUCCUCGGUAUGCCUACAAAUGGAACAAGAAGAAAAUGGAGUUAGAAUUAAUGAGAAGUCUGCUGAGACAUGGGCUCAGUACUAUGUGCAGGAAGUUAAGUCCUCAACCAGGGAGAAGCUGAGACCUCUGACAUCUUCCUUGAGACUCCUGCACCAUGAGAGCAAAGUGGUGGAAGAAAAGAAUGGGCAGGCUGAAGCACAAGAGAAGAAAGAUGAGGCAGAGGUCCAAGUAAACCAUCUUGUGCACCCAUGAAGCCUGCAGGAGAAGUAGUAAGGGAUGCUGAAGAGCCGGAUGCCAAACAACGUUAUUGACUGUAUGCUCCUGUCGGUAAUAAGUCUCAGUAGACAAGGAACAUCACCCUCGCAGAGAUCAGCUGGGUUGGGUUGUGCCUUCCCCACAACAAAUACUCCCGCUGUCCAGACCUUUGGCAUUCUGGACUAGUUCUGUUCUCUCUUGUGCCAUGUAACUCAUGUACAAUAAACCCUCU